rnacentral:tRNA from 1 species
CCCAGGGUGGUGUAAUGGUAUUCGCAUGACCGACUAAAUCACGGUAGAUCUGGGUUCGAAUCCCAGCCCUGGCC